rnacentral:rRNA from 1 species
UUUAUGGAGAGUUUGAUCCUGGCUCAGGAUGAACGCUGGCGGCGUGCCUAAUACAUGCAAGUCGAGCGAACGGACGAGAAGCUUGCUUAUCUGAUGUUAGCGGCGGACGGGUGAGUAACACGUGGAUAACCUACCUAUAAGACUGGGAUAACUUCGGGAAACCGGAGCUAAUACCGGAUAAUAUUUUGAACCGCAUGGUUCAAAAGUGAAAGACGGUCUUGCUGUCACUUAUAGAUGGAUCCGCGCUGCAUUAGCUAGUUGGUAAGGUAACGGCUUACCAAGGCAACGAUGCAUAGCCGACCUGAGAGGGUGAUCGGCCACACUGGAACUGAGACACGGUCCAGACUCCUACGGGAGGCAGCAGUAGGGAAUCUUCCGCAAUGGGCGAAAGCCUGACGGAGCAACGCCGCGUGAGUGAUGAAGGUCUUCGGAUCGUAAAACUCUGUUAUUAGGGAAGAACAUAUGUGUAAGUAACUGUGCACAUCUUGACGGUACCUAAUCAGAAAGCCACGGCUAACUACGUGCCAGCAGCCGCGGUAAUACGUAGGUGGCAAGCGUUAUCCGGAAUUAUUGGGCGUAAAGCGCGCGUAGGCGGUUUUUUAAGUCUGAUGUGAAAGCCCACGGCUCAACCGUGGAGGGUCAUUGGAAACUGGAAAACUUGAGUGCAGAAGAGGAAAGUGGAAUUCCAUGUGUAGCGGUGAAAUGCGCAGAGAUAUGGAGGAACACCAGUGGCGAAGGCGACUUUCUGGUCUGUAACUGACGCUGAUGUGCGAAAGCGUGGGGAUCAAACAGGAUUAGAUACCCUGGUAGUCCACGCCGUAAACGAUGAGUGCUAAGUGUUAGGGGGUUUCCGCCCCUUAGUGCUGCAGCUAACGCAUUAAGCACUCCGCCUGGGGAGUACGACCGCAAGGUUGAAACUCAAAGGAAUUGACGGGGACCCGCACAAGCGGUGGAGCAUGUGGUUUAAUUCGAAGCAACGCGAAGAACCUUACCAAAUCUUGACAUCCUUUGACAACUCUAGAGAUAGAGCCUUCCCCUUCGGGGGACAAAGUGACAGGUGGUGCAUGGUUGUCGUCAGCUCGUGUCGUGAGAUGUUGGGUUAAGUCCCGCAACGAGCGCAACCCUUAAGCUUAGUUGCCAUCAUUAAGUUGGGCACUCUAAGUUGACUGCCGGUGACAAACCGGAGGAAGGUGGGGAUGACGUCAAAUCAUCAUGCCCCUUAUGAUUUGGGCUACACACGUGCUACAAUGGACAAUACAAAGGGCAGCGAAACCGCGAGGUCAAGCAAAUCCCAUAAAGUUGUUCUCAGUUCGGAUUGUAGUCUGCAACUCGACUACAUGAAGCUGGAAUCGCUAGUAAUCGUAGAUCAGCAUGCUACGGUGAAUACGUUCCCGGGUCUUGUACACACCGCCCGUCACACCACGAGAGUUUGUAACACCCGAAGCCGGUGGAGUAACCUUUUAGGAGCUAGCCGUCGAAGGUGGGACAAAUGAUUGGGGUGAAGUCGUAACAAGGUAGCCGUAUCGGAAGGUGCGGCUGGAUCACCUCCUUUCU